UACAGAGGGUGCAAACGUUGCUCGGAAUUAUUGGGCGUAAAGCGCGUGUAGGCGGCUUGUUAAGUUGGUUGUGAAAACCCAUGGCUCAACCAUGGAAGUGCGUCCAAAACUGGCAAGCUAGAGUUCUGACGAGGAUGGCGGAAUUCCCAGUGUAGAGGUGAAAUUCGUAGAUAUUGGGAGGAACACCGGUGGCGAAGGCGGCCAUCUGGGAAGAUACUGACGCUGAGACGCGAAAGCGUGGGGAGCAAACAGG
rnacentral:rRNA from 1 species